rnacentral:rRNA from 1 species
GCCGCGGUAAUACCAGCUCCUCGAGUGGUCGGGGCGAUUAUUGGGCCUAAAGCAUCCGUAGCCGGUUCCGUAGGUCUUCUGUUAAAUCCACGGCUUAACCGUUGGCCUGCAGAAGAUACCGCGGGACUAGGAGGCGGGAGAGGUGGACGGUACUCUACGUGUAGGGGUAAAAUCCUUUGAUCCGUAGAAGACCACCAGUGGCGAAGGCGGUCCACCAGUAACGCGCUCGACGGUGAGGGAUGAAAGCUGGGGGAGCGAACCGGAUUAGAUACCCGGGUAGUCCCAGCCGUAAACGAUGCGAGCUAGAUGAUCCAAUCGCAAAUCGCGAUUGGAGUGUCGCAGGGAAGCCGUUAAGCUCGCCGCCUGGGGAGUACGGUCGCAAGACUGAAACUUAAAGGAAUUGGCGGGGAAGCACA